rnacentral:rRNA from 1 species
AUUGAACGCUGGCGGCAGGCCUAACACAUGCAAGUCGAGCGGAGCGGCGGACGGGUGAGUAAUGCCUAGGAAUCUGCCUGGUAGUGGGGGAUAACGUCCGGAAACGGGCGCUAAUACCGCAUACUAUCAGAUGAGCCUAGGUCGGAUUAGCUAGUUGGUGGGGUAAAGGCCUACCAAGGCGCCGAUCCGUAACUGGUCUGAGAGGAGUAUCAGUCACACUGGAACGAAGACACGGUCCAGACUCCUACGGGAGGCAGCAGUGGGGAAUAUGGGACAUUGUGCCAAAGCCUGAUCCAGCCAUGCCUCGUGUGUUAAGAAGGUCUUCGGAUGGUAAAGCACUGUAAUUUGGGAGGCGUUACCAACAGAAUAAGCACCGGCUAACGUCGUGCCAGCAGCCGCGGUAAUAC